AGAAGGGAGAGGUGUAAAGAAAAAGAAAUAAAGAAGAAUUGAAAUAUAGAGGAAGAGAGAGACAGAGCCCGACCCGCGCACCACGAACUCCGAGGAGCAAAUGGCUCCGCCGGGCUCGCGCCGCCGUUUAAAUCCCGUUCAGCCCCGCCCCGCGCAUGCGCUCUGGGGCCCCGCGCACCUGUGCAGGCCCCGCCCCGCGCACCUGUGCAGGCUCCGCCCCGCGCACCUGUGCAGGCCCCGCCCCCGGCCCCGCCCCCGCCCGCGCCCUUUAAACGCGGCCGAGCCGCUCCCGGCCCGCUCCAUUCGGGAACGCUCGUGCUGGGAUGCGGCGGGAUCCUCGUCCGGGCGCGACCCAGGGACCGCUCCCGGUGCUGCCCGAAUCCUGAGGCGCUCAGAUCACAGGAUAUAGUGGGGUCGAGAAGGUUCCUAAAAUCUGGCUCUCAAGUACACAGCAUGUGGCAGAAUUGAACUCACAUCCUGGGCAGUACCUGGACUCUGCUCCAACUGACUGAACCAGUCUCUGGGUCACAGGAUUUACCCACCAGCUGCAGAUUUGCUCUUGCCAAGUCCUUUUGCAGGGAGAAAUGAGCAGGAAGAUCCUGAGGCUUCCCUUGCUGCAUGACCAGGGCUCUUCUGGAGAGUGGCAGGGGGCAUUUCCUGCAGGCUCCUGGAGAUGCUUCAGCCUGGACACAGCCACUGACAGCCCAAAGGCAGCCCAAGGAGCAGCUGGCACUGCCUGGUGAUGGCAGCACGGGCUGUGUGUAGAGGGGCUCAGACAGCAAUUCCUGGUUCCAGCCUCCAGAGCUCCCAGGCAGCUGCCAGGUAUGUCCUGUCCACCCCAAUUCCCUUCCCUUCCAGCCUGAGGCCAUCACCCAGCAGCAGCACUAAAGCCAAGGCAGUCUUACCUCACAGAUACUGAAUCCAACCAACAGCCUGCAGAGAUGCCUUAAAAUCAGAGGUUUGGCUGGGAUGAAGUCUUGUUUGGAUGAAGGUGGGAGUUUCCAGGGAGCCAGCUGGAAGUGCAGAAGGGAUGGAAAGCUUUCCCAGCUUGUAAAACUUAUCCUGGAAUUCAGAGGUCAAGCAGGGCUGGCUUUGGAUUGACCUUCACCUCUGGUCCCACUUUGUGCAAACACAACUCGUGCCAGGUGCUGGACUUGUCUCUGUGGAUGUGUGCUGAGCUCUCACUGCAGGGGACUGUCAGGCCUGACUGGCUCUGUUCCCUGAUGUCAUUUCCCUGCCUCACUUCAGUGCAGCUCCUAGCUGGGAAAAACUGGGAUAACUUAGAGGGGACAGAGAGCUGAGAAGGAAAUCAGAAGUGAGCCUUGCAGUUCAUAGGAAGACUUUUUGAAGCAGGA